UCGAGAAUUUUUCACAAUGGGGGCAACCCUGAUGGAGCGACGCCGCGUGGAGGAUGAAGGCCUUCGGGUUGUAAACUCCUGUCAUGCGGGAACAAGCAAGUGAUAGUACCGCAAGAGGAAGGGACGGCUAACUCUGUGCCAGCAGCCGCGGUAAUACAGAGGUCUCAAGCGUUGUUCGGAUUCAUUGGGCGUAAAGGGUGCGUAGGUGGUGACGCAAGUCUGGUGUGAAAUCUCGGAGCUCAACUCCGAAAUUGCACCGGAUACUGCGUGACUCGAGGACUGUAGAGGAGAUCGGAAUUCACGGUGUAGCAGUGAAAUGCGUAGAUAUCGUGAGGAAGACCAGUUGCGAAAGCGGAUCUCUGGGCAGUUCCUGACACUGAGGCACGAAGGCCAGGGGAGCAAACGGGAUUAGAUACCCCGGUAGUCCUGGCAGUAAAACGGUGCACGGUUUGGUGUGGGGCGGGUUCAGACCCCGUCCGUGCC
rnacentral:rRNA from 1 species